rnacentral:lncRNA from 1 species
AAGCUGUUCUUGGUUGUUGGCUUGUUUUGGUUCACACAACAGAAAUAAUGUUUGCAGAUUUUCCACCUACUCAACACAUUCGGCACGCACAGCGGUAGGUUCUAUACACAAAUGUUUAGGACGCCAAUGGGGAUGCUUUUUGCAGAGCCUGCUUGGUUUUGUUUGUGCUUUCUUGCUGUAAACAAGAUCAGCAAUAUUAGCAUAAAUCUCAUAAUGAGCAAACAAGAAAUAAACCAUGGAGAGGGAUGGUGAUUUCUGCCCUUGUUCAUCAGGGCUUGCGUUGUGCCUGAAGGAUGACUGGAUUUUUUACUUCUGAGAUCGUUAAUGAUCCUUUUGAACAUUUAAAUGGCCAGACCUUUAUGGAACACUUAAAACUCUUUUGCCUUGAAGAUCACCCGUGUCAAGGAGUCACACGGAUUCAUUUCACACUAUAAAUCUAUUUCCCUUUAUAGGCUUUAAAGUUGCCACCUUCUCAUUUAUCCAAUUUAAGAGGAACAACAUCACUCAUUACUGUUGUGCCGUGCCAGCACUUUUUUUUAUUUCUCUCCUCUUUAGCACAGAACUUCCUAAUACUUCAGUCUUGCUUCAAUCAAUACACAGUGAUAAUAAUGGGGAGAACCAGUAAGAAUCAAAAUUAUUUUCUCGUUAAUGCUGUCAUACUGGAAAACAUUUUAACCUGCUUCAUAAAGCCAUAUAAUUGUAUUGGCAGAGCCUCUUUAAAACACUAAUUUUCAUUGCCAUUCAUGCAUGCUACCCCAGUAAUCCAGAUGCUAAUGCAAGACCAAUUCCACGGCCAAUUAGCUGUAACCAUUAAUGAAGGCUCAGACAGAAAAAGAUAAAACAGCAGACAACAAAAGCUCAAUGGCCAUCACAAGACAGAAGAAACUGAAAGACAAACAAGUUCAGCUCUGUCAUUGUUCAUCAGGGUGGAAAGCGUCCACCUGCAUGUUUGAGGAAGACUCAGCUCUGUCUUCAAAUGUAGCGUGACUGGAAGCUGGGCUCAUGCUGGGAGGUCCAAGCCCAUUCAGGGACUUCUUUUGGGGCCCACACCGUCCUUGCAGCACAAGCAGCCUGCAAGCUGUUCCAACACCAAGCCUCCGGCUGCAGCAUGGUAAAGGGGACAAAGGUUCACACACU